UACAGAGGGUGCGAGCGUUAAUCGGGAUUACUGGGCGUAAAGCGCACGUAGGUGGCGACGUAAGUCGGGUGUGAAAGCCCCGGGCUCAACCUGGGAAUUGCAUUCGAGACUGCAUUGCUGGAGUACGGAAGAGGAGGGCGGAAUUCCCGGUGUAGCGGUGAAAUGCGUAGAUAUCGGGAGGAACAUCAGUGGCGAAGGCGGCCCUCUGGUCCAGUACUGACACUCAAGUGCGAAAGCGUGGGGAGCAAACAGG
rnacentral:rRNA from 1 species